AGAGCUCUUAUGAAAGAGACCCCAGAGAGAUCCCUUGCAAGUUCCACCAUGUGAGGAUACAGGGAGAAAAUGGCAGUCUAUGAACCAGGAAGCAAGUCUUCACCAGAACCCAGCUGUGCUAGCACCCUGAACUCAGGCUUUCAGCCUCCAGAACUAUCCUCAGAGCUUUAUAGCCUUUCAGUUGAGAAAUAUGAAACACUGAAAAUCAAAAACAAAUGCUGGAAAUCUUCUCCUGCCACCAUGUAAGAUAUGCCUUUCACCUUCAGCCAUGAUUGCGAGGCCUCCCCAGCCUGAUGGAAUUAAAAACCAUGCCUUUCCUAUGUGGAUAAUCAGCAAAGCUGAGGACAUCGGGAAGCAACUCAGGAUUGCCAGUUUACAGCUCUUCUGGAUGUGCACUGGUUAAUGCAUGGAAUUCAGCAACAGCAGACUUUGUUCCUUUGAUGGAUCCAGAAGAUCGCCACAUCAAGGAAUAUGGUGGUAAAACUGCAAGAUAAUCUGCCACCCCUAACAACUAUAGAAGUUCUAAGGAUGUUAGAGACUCAUAGAGAGGAAUUCUAAUGGCCAUACUUGAACCGUUGCAGCAAUACACUCAGAAGAUUGGUGAAAGAAAAGAAAGGCAUUUUGAAAGUGAUUUUCAAAAAACAGUUAAUCCAGAAUUCCAUAUUUAGCAAAAUUAUACUUCAAGAAUGAAUGUGACAUGAUAAUGUCAAUGAAAAGAAAAACAAAAUAAUUUGUCACCCCAAAAAAUUAUUGAACAAGAAUGCUAAAGAAAGUAGUGUAUAACGUAUAUGGCUGUGAAAUAUAUUAUGAUUAAAGCCUAGAGGAUUUUGGAAGAUGUGUUAAA
ensembl:lncRNA LINC00448 long intergenic non-protein coding RNA 448